GUUUCAAACCAAAUAUUCCACUGCACGCAGGGACAGGCUGCUGCUUCUCUGGAAGAGCACAGAUUUUACUUUCAUCACAAAUAAAACAGGUCCUCAGACAGUAACAACGUCAUUUAGAAGAGGAAAUUGAUGCUUUAACCACAGUUUCUUAAUCCUAGAGGAUCUUUCCAUACUGUAUUCUUAGAGAAUUGCUAAAAUCUCUUGCCAUUAUUUCUCUAGCUUACGGAUCACCUGUUCUGUACUUCCACCUCUUCAAGAAAUGAGAAUCAGUAGUUGUAACCAGUUAAGCCGGGACCUAAACGCCUGCCCAUCUGAAGGAUGUCUGCGCUGAUAAGAUAAAGCCAACAGCUCUGCAGCAUAAUAAAGUUUCAAUUUAUUCACCUGCCUCA
ensembl:lncRNA